rnacentral:rRNA from 1 species
UACAGAGGUCUCGAGCGUUGUUCGGAUUCAUUGGGCGUAAAGGGCGCGUAGGCGGCGCCACAAGUCACUUGUGAAAACUCUGGGCUCAACUCAGAGCCUGCAAGCGAAACUGUGGUGCUGGAGUAUGGGAGAGGUGCGUGGAAUUCCCGGUGUAGCGGUGAAAUGCGUAGAUAUCAGGAGGAACACCGAUGGCGAAGGCAGGUCUCUGGGCCAUAACUGACGCUGAGAAGCGAAAGCAUGGGGAGCGAACAGG